rnacentral:rRNA from 1 species
GAACGGUCCUUCGGGACAGUGGCAGACGGGUGAGUAACGCGUGGGAAUCUACCUAGCUCUACGGAAUAGCUUCGGGAAACUGGAAUUAAUACCGUAUACGCCCUCCGGGGGAAAGAUUUAUCGGAGUUAGAUGAGCCCGCGUUAGAUUAGCUAGUUGGUGGGGUAAUGGCCUACCAAGGCGACGAUCUAUAGCUGGUCUGAGAGGAUGAUCAGCCACACUGGGACUGAGACACGGCCCAGACUCCUACGGGAGGCAGCAGUGGGGAAUAUUGGACAAUGGGCGAAAGCCUGAUCCAGCCAUGCCGCGUGUGUGAUGAAGGCCUUAGGGUUGUAAAGCACUUUCAACGGGGAAGAUAAUGACGGUACCCGUAGAAGAAGCCCCGGCUAACUUCGUGCCAGCAGCCGCGGUAAUACGAAGGGGGCUAGCGUUGUUCGGAAUUACUGGGCGUAAAGCGCGCGUAGGCGGAUUGAUCAGUUAGGGGUGAAAUCCCAAGGCUCAACCUUGGAACUGCCUCUAAUACUGUCAGUCUAGAGUUCUAGAGAGGUGAGUGGAAUUCCGAGUGUAGAGGUGAAAUUCGUAGAUAUUCGGAGGAACACCAGUGGCGAAGGCGGCUCACUGGCUAGAUACUGACGCUGAGGUGCGAA